AAACUUAAAAAGAAUAAAAAUAAAUGUAAAAUAAAUACAGAAAAUAAUACAUAAAGGAAAAAAGUAAUUUAAAAUAAAAAUUCAAGUUUAAAUUUUAUUACGUUAGGGCCUGUAGGGGGCCUGUAGGAGGUAAGAACAUACUGUUAACCAAACCAUGCUAUUAUAUGGGUCAUUAUUAGUCCUGUUUCAUAAAAUUUUGCAUCUGAUUGAGGACAUACUUUAACUUUAUGUUAUCAGGUGAGCUCCCUGGGUUUUUGGAGAUGAAACCCUGUUCGAAUGGGAAGCACCAUUGUGCUCCCAGGGGAUGGCACUCCUUAUCAUUGUCAGUGUGUCAUGGGCUUCCAAGGGGAUGGACGCAACUGCUAUGGUUUCUACAUUUUGGUGGUUUACCAUUUGAGGGCGAUGAUCUCGUGAACCCAUAUACUGAUGAGUGUUUUCUGCAGCUCUGUCAUCUGUUUGCUUCCUGCUCCAACACCCAGGCCUCCUUCCACUGCCAGUGCUGACCCGAACACAAGGGCGACGGCUUCCUCUGCCAACCACCACGUAAACCACAACAUUUAUCAAGAAACACACAACGCUUUCUCCCUGUUAUCUCAGUAACAGACUGUUCUCUUUAUUUAUAACACAGAAGAAGUCCGGCAAUCAAGUCAGAUACUAUUUUCAGCGGCGAAUUAUAAAACACAAAUGAGUUGUUUAAUCUUUUAUAAGAAACAAGUAGAACAUGUUCCUGGAACAACAUACAUUGUUCCAGGACUUGGCUUAGUCACAUCAUGCCAUUUAGUGAAUACUGAUAAUGUAAUGUAUUUAAAUGUUCACUGGUCCUGUUUUUUUUCUACGUUAAACCACCCUUAACCGUGUGCCAACACCACAGAGAAAGUCUGCAGGAGAGUCUAAGCAUCUACCCAGGCCUGGAGGCCUUUAUUCCUCAGUGUGAUGAGAAAGGGCAGUACAAACCCCUGCAGUGCCUGGGCACCACUGGACGCUGCUGGUGUGUGGACAGUAGAGGGCAGGAGAGAGUGGGCACCAGGACAAUACCUGGCACAGCGCAAGCCAACUGUGAUCAGCCAUGCAGGCUUGGUCCAGCCGGAGGGAAUUGCGGUGGACACUGUGCACAGGAAGUUGUUCUGGGUAGACAGUGGGAAAGACAGGAUCGAGACAUCUGAUCUGGAUGGCAGGAACAGAAAAGUGCUGAUUGAUUCUGAUUUGGUGAAUCCCAGAGCCAUCGUCAUGGAUGCUAAGAGUGGGUCAGUGAGAUUUCAUCAAAGUCCUUCAUUUGCUGUCUGUUCUAUAUUAUAUUUACCAUUAUGCAUACACAUUCAUUCAAGCUAUCAUGAAACACAAAUAAAUGUAUUAAGGUUGUAAGUUUCUUCAGAACCUUAUAUUGGACCGACUGGAACCGUGAUGCUCCCAAAAUAGAGAGCUCAUCACUGAAGGGACAUAAGAGGAAAGUACUGGUGUAAGAGGGUCUCAUGUUGCCUAAUGCCUUGACAUUAAACUUUGACACAAAUCACCUGUGCUGGGCAGAGGCAGGUAGGAGUUUACACAAAAUAUAGCAUCUCACAUUAUCAUAUAUAGGUGCAUCUCAGUAAAUUAGAAUGUUGUGGAAAAGU